UCUAGGACUCUUAAUGCCAUCAGGCUGGCAUUUUGUUCAACUCAUUAGCUGGUUACAGUAACAAGGAACCACCAUUUUGAUGCAAAGGAGCAGAUGCGACAGGAUCACAAGUAGGAGGAGCGGCGACGAUGUUGUAGCGAGAGACAUGGGUGCCGAG